CAUGAAAGUUCACGUGCGCGAGCAUCAGAUGCAAGGAGCUACUGUUUGGGCGCACCUCUUUGAGAACUGGAACAGAGCCAGAAAGCUCCAACCAGAGUGUUAGAAACAUCUAUAACUACUCUAGAACCUUCCAGCUAGAAGACAAGCUUUGAAGACAAUGUGCCCCACCUGGAGGCUUGGGUGACUGAGACACUGAUCUAAGAAGUUUAUGUGCACAAAAUGGAUUUCCUAUUCCCUUAAAUAAUGGCAACAGUGUUUUUCAGCUGUUUCUAAUACUGGUAGGUUGUUGGAUAUACUGUUUAUAGUUCAUGAAAGCUUUAUUGCAAUUCAGUAUCCGACUUAUUAGAGAAACCAGGUAACACAACCAAGCCCCCUCUAGCCACCUGACAAAUGAAUUUACAAUGUAACGAUUUGCAUAGCACUGAGAACAGGCAGCCUCAACCUCAGAGGUCUGCCUGCUUUUGCCUCCUGAGUGAGUGCAGGGGUUAAAGAGGAGCAGGGCAGCAUCCGGCUGAGAAUGGAGCUAGGAAGGACUCAGGUACUAUGGGAGGUGAAGAAAGAAAAGAAUGAGAUCUAGAAUAGAUACAGUAUUGUGUGUGUACUGACCUUCCCCUUGAGACUGAAAACUUCACAUCUAUAGUUGCUAGCUGACAGCCUCCAGUUCUCAGACAGUCUGAAGACUGUUUUCUUUUUUUUGUUUUUGUUUUUGUUUUUCUGGCCCAAAGCACUGCUUUCUGCCAGUGUGUGGCAGUGCUGAAGAGCCCUGAUAGUUCUGGAGCAUCUCUAGUACUACCUAGGCUUGUUCUGACUCUAAGUUUGAGGCUCUGCUUGCUUCUUUUGCAGCUCUCAGGCGCUGAUCCCAGGGGCCUCCCUAAUGUUCCCCUAUGCUAAUUUGUUCUGAGCCAGCUUCCCAGGGAACUUGACCUAGAGUAAAUGCCACAGCAGCCCUACUCUGAUUGUUUAUUUGCACAGAUUAUCCCUGGCGAAUAUGGUUUGAUGUACUAGUUUUUAACUUUUACAAUGGUAUGAAACCAACACCAUUUAGUGUAAGUCUAAACUUCGAAUUUUGAUUUUGGUCAGUUCCCAGGCUUGUGAUAUGCAGGAAGGCAGGCUCAUGAAAUGUACCAAUGAGCUAUAGCUCUCAAAUCAGUUAUAGGAUCAUAAGUGUAAAUAAUUAACACUCUCUGUGCCAAUUUGCUAAAGUGUAAUAUUCCUACAGAUUAAGGGUAUGAAAUGCAUUUAUGACCUGUGGAAGAUAUUUUCAAUGCAUAUUGAAAUUAUCAGAACGUAACCACAGUUUAGAAGCCUCUAUAUACGGAAUACUCAUGUAGGAUUUUAUUGAAAGCAAAUCAAACUGGUUUCACACUUAAAUGGUUUAUCCAGUAAGGAAAAUUAUCAUUAUGGUUAUAUAUGUAAGACUAUUUUAUGGUUCAUCUUUCAAACUAACAUCAAGGGAGUAUUGUUUCUUUUUCUUAUUAGCCUUUGUAUUUAUGUUGCAUUUAUAAAUAUAUUCUUAUGCCUUAGAGCAGAAAUUUAUUAGCUAAUAGAAUGUGUCAUGACUAUUUUUAAUGUUCCUAACAUACCUAAAACCAAGAAUGUUCAUUAAUAAAAGUGACUGUAACAAACC
rnacentral:lncRNA from 1 species